rnacentral:rRNA from 1 species
CAAUAAAUACCUUACAGAGGUCUCGUUAACCGAGAUCUCUCAAACGGAAUGAGUACAACGUGAAUCCUUUAACGAGGAUCGACUGGAGGGCAAGCCUGGUGCCAGCAGCCGCGGUAAUUCCAGCUCCAGUAGCGUAUAUUAAAGCUGUUGCGGUUAAAAAGCUCGUAGUUGGAUAUCAGUGCGUGUCCGGUCCGGUAUGCCCGGCGGCGGCGCUCGCGCGUCACUGCUGGGCUCCCAAAUAUCGGCUGGCCGCAUUCAAUCGUGCCGGAUCCGUCGACGGGCCGUUCUUCGGAGGGGCCUGUUGGCGACCGGCGACGUUACCUUGAACAAAUUAGAGUGCUCAAAGCAGGCUCUGAAUGCCUGUAUACAUAUUCAUGGAAUUGGAGAAUACGUCCCUGGCUCGAUUUGGUUGGUUUUGAGAGUCGAAGGGAAAUGAUUAAUAGGGACUGACGGAGGCAUUCGUAUUGCGACGCGAGGGGUGAAAUCCUGUGACCGUCGCACGACGAACUACUGCGAAAGCAUUUGCCGAGAAUGUUUUCAUUAGUCAAGAACGAAAGUUAGAGGUUCGAAGGCGAUCAGAUACCGCCCUAGUUCUAACCGUAAACGAUGUCGACCAGCAAUCCGCAACGGUCACUACACGGACUGUGCGGGCAGCUUCCCCGGGGAAACCAGAGUGUAUGGACUCCGGGGGAAGUAUGGUUGCAAAGCUGAAACUUAAAGGAAUUGACGGAAGGGCACCACCAGGAGUGGAGCUUGCGGCUUAAUUUGACUCAACACGGGACAACUCACCAGGCCCGGACACCGUAAGGAUUGACAGACUGAUAGCUCUCUCUUGAUUCAGUGGGUGGUGGUGCAUGGCCGUUCUUAGUUGGUGGAGUGAUUUGUCUGGUUUAUUCCGAUAACGAACGAGACUCUGGCCUAUUAAACUUGACGCCGUCAGUCUCUUGUGACUGC